AUUGAACGCUGGCGGCAGGCCUAACAACUGCCAGUCGAGCGAGCGGCGGACGGGUGCGUCAUGUAUGGGGACUGCCCGAUAGAGGGGGAUAACUACUGGAAACGGUGGCUAAUACCGAAUACUAUCGGAUAACCCAUAUGGGAUUAGCUAGUAGGAGGGGUAAAGGCUAACCUAGGCGACGAUCUCUAGCUGGUAUGAGAGGAUGAUCAGCCACACUGGGACUGAGACACGGCCCAGACUCCGACGGAGGCAGCAGUGGGGAAUAUUGCACAAUGGGCGCAAGCCUGAUGCAGCCAGGCCGCGUGUAUGAAGAAGGCCUUAGGGUUGUAAAGUACUUUCAGCGGGGAGGAGUUACCCGCAGAAGAAGCACCGGCUAACUCCGUGCCAGCAGCCGCGGUAAUUC
rnacentral:rRNA from 1 species